rnacentral:rRNA from 1 species
GCACAAGCGGUGGAGCAUGUGGUUUAAUUCGACGCAACGCGAAGAACCUUACCAGGGCUUGACAUCCCCUGACCGCGUAUGAAAGUACGUUUUCACCCUCGGGUGACAGGGAGACAGGUGGUGCAUGGUUGUCGUCAGCUCGUGUCGUGAGAUGUUGGGUUAAGUCCCGCAACGAGCGCAACCCCUACGUUUAGUUGCUAACAGGUGAAGCUGAGCACUCUAGACGAACUGCCGUUGACAAAACGGAGGAAGUGGGGAUGACGUCAAAUCAUCAUGCCCCUUAUGUUCUGGGCUACACACGUGCUACAAUGGCCGGUACAGACGGAGGCGAAGCCGCGAGGCGGAGCAAAUCCGAAAAAGCCGGUCUCAGUUCGGAUUGCAGGCUGCAAUUCGCCUGCAUGAAGUCGGAAUCGCUAGUAAUCGCAGGUCAGCAUACUGCGGUGAAUACGUUCCCGGGCCUU